rnacentral:rRNA from 1 species
UGCCAGCCGCCGCGGUAAUACGGAAGGUGCGAGCGUUAAUCGGAAUUACUGGGCGUAAAGCGCACGUAGGUGGCUUGGUAAGUCGGAUGUGAAAGCCCUGGGCUCAACCUGGGAAUUGCAUUCGAUACUGCUUAACUAGAGUAUGGUAGAGGCAAGUGGAAUUCCGGGUGUAGCGGUGAAAUGCGUAGAUAUCCGGAGGAACAUCAGUGGCGAAGGCGACUUGCUGGACUAAUACUGACGCUGAGGAGCGAAAGCGUGGGGAGCAAACGGGAUUAGAUA